CCUACGGGUGGCAGCAGUGAGGAAUAUUGGUCAAUGGACGAGAGUCUGAACCAGCCAAGUAGCGUGAAGGAUGACUGCCCUAUGGGUUGUAAACUUUUUUUAUAUGGGAAUAAAAUGUUCCACGUGUGGGAUUUUGUAUGUACCAUAUGAAUAAGGAUAGGCAAACUCCGUGCCAGCAGCCGCGGUAAUCAGGAGGAUCCGAGCGGUAACUGGAUUUAUUGGGUUUAAAGGGAGCGUAGGUGGAUUGUUAAGUCAGUUGUGAAAGUUUGCGGCUCAACCGUAAAAUUGCAGUUGAAACUAGCAGUCUAGAGUACAGUAGAGGUGAGCGGAAUUCGAGGUGAAGCGGUGAAAUGCUUAGAUAUCACGAAGAACACCGAUUGCGAAGGCAGCUCACUGGACUGCAACUGACACUGAGGCUCGAAAGUGUGGGUAUCAAACAGGAUUAGAUACCCCGGUAGUC
rnacentral:rRNA from 1 species